GUCCAGUCCUUUCACAGACACUGACACAGGCAGCAUUAUGACGAGGUCAAACAUUUUACUGCUGGUGAUACUGGGACUAUUUGCUCAGGAAUCGAUGGCAGAUAUAGUCCUGACGCAGUCUCCGUCAGCUCAGUCUGUUCAGCUGGGAGACACUGUCUCUAUCAGCUGUACAGCCAGUCAGAGCGUUUACACUGAUAGCGAUGGCAACUGGCUCAGCUGGUACCUGCAGAAACCUGGUCAGGCUCCUAAACUUCUGAUUUAUUAUGCCACAACUCGCCAGUCUGGGAUUCCUGAUCGUUUCAGUGGGAGUGGAUCUGGGACUCAGUUCACACUGAAAAUCACUGGAGUCCAGGCUGAAGAUGCAGGAGAUUAUUACUGUCAGAGUUACCACAGUCCCAAUGUGUUCACACAGUGAUACAGAGCAGUACAAAAACCUCCCUCAGUCAGACUGCACAGAGACUGCACUGCUGCAUCUGGGACCGACUGCAGGUGCUGAGGUGGGAGGCACUGACCCGGGACACUGAGGGGCUCAGCGCUAAAACACCAAACUUCCGUAAUACAUUUUUUGUUUGUUAUUUGACAAGAGAGUACAAACGUUCCAUGUGUUCUCAGCAAGCUAGUAACACUACAAGUUGACAUUAAAAUGUAUUUAUCUAGUCGUUUUACAUAUAAAAUAAUAUGAGAAAGUUUUGUAUUAACAGCAACAUA